UCUGUGGAUGAACACUACACCAUUUGCUCCAUUUUCUGAGAAUUUCUCAGUGGAUGCUUUAAAAACCAAGGAUGAAUUCAGCAUCUCUAUUUUAUGUGGAAGCUGUUCUCAGCAUCAUUUGUUUUCUUACUUGGGUGGAAAAGAUAGCUGGGUAGGUGUUUUCCUCCCAGGGCCUUCUGAAGAGUUUAAAAACAGAGACUUUGGGUGUUGAAUGAAAGGUCCCUAUUCUUUCCUAAAAUACUCACAGAAUCCCAUGACUAAUAUAUAAAUAAAGAUUGUUGUAUUAGUCACCCAACAAUGAAAGAAGAAAUCCUCCCACUUCUCAAAUGCUUCCUUUCAGAGUAACCUCAAUGACCUGACUGAUUCAUGGAACUAAUUUGUAACAAUAAUAAAGAUGAAGCGGGACCCCAGACAAGCUUUCAGAACUCCUCCAAAGACCCUCACUGCCUCAUCCCGCUCUCCCGUUCCUCGGCCUGCAGCUGAUGCCUUUGAGGAAGCCCCUGUUUGUACUGACAGUGGCCCAGAAACCUCUUCCCCUUGCUCAGACAAUUGCCCAUGUGGCCGCUGCCAACUUGGGGCUUCCUGGACUUCACAAACUCAGGAGGUCUGAGCUCAGUGACACCCUGCAUCGCCCCUGCUCCCUGGGCUCCUGCCCUGAACCACAGCUCCCUGCUUGAUGAAGAAGGGUCAGCCACCUCAAGGUUCACUUCCGGGCAGAGGCCACAUCUGUUAGGAAAGAAAAUAGAUGAAAAGCAUAGUUAGCAAGUGCCUGCUGUUGGCCAGGCACCGAGCUAGGAGGUGUCUUAUUCCUGUGUCAUCUUAUUUCAUCAUGUAAAUGGCCCUGUGAGGCAGAGAUGGUUGUUUGAAUUAUACAGAAGGAGAAACACAGAGUCAGAAAGAUGAAGAAACUUGCUGAAGAUUGUAUUGUGUUCCAGUGGUCUCCAAACUGGGGCAGUCACCCUGUUGAAGUGUACUGUGUGGGUCCAGAUGGGAGUGGAUGUUCAGCUCUCACUGGGCUCCACUGAUAUCAGCCCAGCCAGAGUGGAGUGCCAGCUGACCCCGCCUUGCUUUGCCUCACUCUGCCUUGUAGCUAAUGGGUGGGGGUGGAAGUCUUGCUUGGACUGUCGAUACCAGGAGUGGGGAGGGGGAAAAGGGACUGUGUUGUUGUGUAAUAAAGGAUUUGACUUUGUCCCUGGCUCCUGAGAAGGAGACUCUAAGUCUUUGGAAAUUCCCAAGUAAGAGGAGUGUCUUUGUUUUUCAUGAGCCCCUUGGAUCGCACCUUAGUUUAUGUUGAGAUGAGAGGGGUGGGAUUUGGAGCCAGCCUGACCUUGGGGAGAGUAGGGGGGAUGGAGAUUGAGUUGAGUCAUGUGACCAAUGAUUUACUCAACCAUGCCUAUGUCAUGAAACCUCAAUAAAAACUCUGGACACUGAAGCUCAGUGGAGUUACCUGCCUGGUAAACACAUUGAUUUGACCCACUCUGAUUUCAUGGGUUGAAGGCAUGGGAACUCUGCACUUAGGACCCCCCAGGAUUCACCUAUGUGUCUCUCCACUUGGCUGGUCCUGAUUUUUAUCCUGCGUAAUAAAACUGUAACCAUAAGUAAGGUGCUUUACUGAGUUCUGUGAGUCCUUCUAUUGAA
rnacentral:lncRNA from 10 species